rnacentral:rRNA from 1 species
UACGUAGGGUGCAAGCGUUGUCCGGAAUUAUUGGGCGUAAAGAGCUCGUAGGCGGUCUGUCGCGUCUGCUGUGAAAACUCAGGGCUUAACCCUGAGCUUGCAGUGGGUACGGGCAGACUAGAGUGCGGUAGGGGAGACUGGAAUUCCUGGUGUAGCGGUGAAAUGCGCAGAUAUCAGGAGGGAACACCGGUGGGCGAAGGCGGGUCUCUGGGCCGUAACUGACG